CUUGAACGCUGGCGGCAGGCCUAACACAUGCAAGUCGAACGAGUGGCGGACGGGUGAGUAAUGUCUGGGAAACUGCCUGAUGGAGGGGGAUAACUACUGGAAACGGUAGCUAAUACCGCAUCCCAUCGGAUGUGCCCAGAUGGGAUUAGCUAGUAGGUGGGGUAACGGCUCACCUAGGCGACGAUCCCUCGCUGGUCUGAGAGGAUGACCAGCCACACUGGAACUGAGCCACGGUCUAGACCCCUACGGGAGGCAGCAGUGUGGAAGAUUGCACAAUGGGCGCAAGCCUGAUGCAGCCAUGCCGCGGGUAUGAAGAAGGCCUUCGUGUUGUAAAGUACUGUCAGCGGGGAGGCGUUACCCGCAGAAGAAGCACCGGCUAACUCCGUGCCAGCCGCCGCGGUAAUAC
rnacentral:rRNA from 1 species